rnacentral:rRNA from 1 species
GACGAACGCUGGCGGCGUGCUUAACACAUGCAAGUCGAACGGAAAGGCCCUGCUUUUGUGGGGUGCUCGAGUGGCGAACGGGUGAGUAACACGUGAGUAACCUGCCCUUGACUUUGGGAUAACUUCAGGAAACUGGGGCUAAUACCGGAUAGGAGCUCCUGCUGCAUGGUGGGGGUUGGAAAGUUUCGGCGGUUGGGGAUGGACUGGCGGCUUAUCAGCUUGUUGGUGGGGUAGUGGCUUACCAAGGCUUUGACGGGUAGCCGGCCUGAGAGGGUAACAGGACACGUUGGGACGGGAAUGAGACACAGACUACUACGGGAGGCAGCAGUGGGGAAUAGUGCACAAUGGGCGGAAGCCUGAUGCAGCAAAGCCGCGUGCGGGAUGACGGCCUUCGGGUUGUAUACCGCUUUCGCCUGUGACGAAGCGUGAGUGACGGUAAUGGGUAAAGAAGCACCGGCUAACUACGUG